CUCCCGUGGAAACAUGACUCUACUGUAGUGGAGGAAAGAGGGGAAUACUAACGCCACGACGGAGGUGCGUGUACCGAGGCUCAAGUGAGGAAGGGGGGGGAUGUCAAGUCUCUAAACUGGAUUCGACUGCGGGCUCGGCAUCGAUUACGGAUUUGAUUAAUUGCCUUCUAAAUAUCACCACCCUCAAAAGGGAGAAGAUGCCGUUCCAUCAUGUGACGGCAGGCCUGCUCUACAAGGGGAACUACCUGAGUCGCUCGCUGUCGGACAGCGACAGUGACGUAUUGGCUAGCAUCUCUGUGGAGGAGCUUGAUGAGAUCCGCGAGGCGUUCAGGGUGCUGGAUCGCGAUGGCAACGGCUUCAUCUCCAAGCAGGAGCUGGGCAUGGCCAUGCGCUCUCUGGGGUACAUGCCCAGCGAGGUGGAGCUGGCUAUCAUCAUGCAAAGACUAGACAUGGACGGUGAUGGACAAGUCGAUUUUGAUGAGUUCAUGACGAUCCUCGGGCCCAAACUGCUGUCAUCUGAAACGAGAGAAGGCUUCCUAGGGAGCACAAUAGACACUAUUUUCUGGCAGUUUGACAUGCAGCGGAUCACCCUGGAGGAGCUCAAACACAUCCUCUUCCACGCCUUCCGCGACCACUUGACCAUGAAGGACAUCGAGAACAUCAUCAUCAAUGAGGAAGAGAGCCUGAAGGAGAACUCUGGGAACUGUCAGACAGAGUUUGAGGGAGUGCACCCUUCCAAGAAGAACCGUCAGACAUGCGUGAGGAAGAGCCUCAUCUGCGCCUUCGCCAUGGCCUUCAUCAUCAGCGUCAUGCUCAUCGCGGCCAAUCAGAUGCUGCGAAAUGGCAUGGAGUAGCUGCGCCCACUGUGAGCGGAGGGAUAAAGCCAACCUGCAUGUGCAUGCCAGUUGGAGUAGAUCUCUCGCCCGUGGCAGAAAGAGAACACACAACUCCCUUUGACUUGUCAACGUUUUCAUUCAGAGACUUGGG